AGCUGGGGCCACACAUUCACGAUUUUUACUACCGUCCUUGACAGAACCAUUCCCGAUUAAAAUUUAUUAAAAGUCUGAUCAAGAUCCUGUGAAUCGUGGAUGGAAAUUAAAAUUUGUAAAAAAAAAUAAUUUGAUCACGACAACAAUCAGAUAGUGUUCAGGAAGCGUCGAUAUUCAACCGUUUCCAAGCGAAUAUGUCCCGAUAAUCCCGUUCUGAAUCCGUUUCUAAUCCGAUUCGUAUUUUUCGCCAGGUAAAAUUCGACCGAGUCUGUCACGACUGCGUCCCGACUCUACCGAAUGUAAUCCGACAGAGAUCAGACAGUGACCAGACAGUGAACUGACGCUGACGGAAGUUAUCCGUUCAAAAACUGUCAGCAUAUUCGGGAUGAUCAGGUACUGUCGGAACGUAAUCCUAUCACGGUCCGCUCUAUCGCAUUGUAAACGGCUUUGUCUGGUCUCAGUC
rnacentral:lncRNA from 1 species